UGCAAAGGGAGAUGAGUAAAUCAUUAGGUAUUCCUCUUUAAACAAGGAGCUUUUCAUAAGCAGCAGCCUAUGAUAGAAUUGUUUUUGUAUACAGUCUAUUUAUUCCCGGGGCAGUCUUGGUUUCACAGUUCUUUUGUUGCGUAGAAUUAUUAUAGCUGGAGCAUGGGAAGACACUUUGUGCAUGCUCAGAGCCCUUGGGAUUGAACAGAGGUCCAGCAACUGUAGGGGAGAACAGAGCUCUGGGCACUCUCAUCUUCAGACCCUUGAUGAGAACAGUUCUUUGGCAAGAGAUGAAAACAGAUCUCAUACUGGGCAAAAAAUAAUUUUGUCUUUGGUCAUUCAGUGACAGGAGUUGGGAGUAAAGUAGCUGUUUUGGAAGAUGGUGAUCAGGCAUUCGAGAAACAUGGCCAGUCCAGCGAAGCUGAUGUUGAAGGAUCAUUGUUUCAACACUGAAGCACAGGAAUGCAUUCAAACCCAACAGGACAAAGCGUCUCUGAGUCUCCCUGAACCCACUCCUGCCGAACUCAGUGGUAGAGAAAACACUUUGCAUGCAGAAGGUCCCUGGUUCAAUCCCCAGGAUUUCUAGAAUUUCCACUGAGUGAUAUUUAAUAUAUACACACAUCCCUCCUUGUCUGAUGCGAGCACUCAUCUGAGAUGGUAACACAAUGACAACAAAAGCAAAUCAUGAAAAUUAUUACUUACAAAAAACCUGGUCCAUCAGCUCCUUGGAAAACUUCAUUAGACUGUAAGUUGGUGGGUACAGCAGUCCAAAGCGGGCCCAGGGAAGAGCCAAGUGGCAGAUCUGCAGCAGGAUCCAAAACACUGCCAGCUUGUGCCAGCCAGGGUGGAAGGUUUUUUCCUUCUGUUUUACUAUGCCAGCUCCAGGGUGGCAUUGAGGAGUCCAAGAAUCAGACGCAGAGGAACAAAAGGACUUUGGAUCCAGCUUUGGAUGGGAGUUGUAGUCCAUCCCUGGAGGGAUGAUGGAUGCCCCUGUUGUCAACAGCUGGAUGGACAACACUCUGACUCAGUAUAAAGCAACUUCUUACAUUCAUGUUAUGAUCUGGUUCAGUGGUUGUAAGGUUUAUAUCCCUGUAAUAAUACAGUGUUUUCAGCUUUGUUUAAACUACCAGGCUUAAGACUAAAUAUCCUAUUCCAAAUAAGGUCUUAAAAAAAUCAAGUAGAGAUUUUGAUGAUGAAUCACUUAGAGGUUUUGAUGAUGAAGUGGUGUAUAAAUCCUUUUAAGAAAUGAAAGAAAUAAAAACUUUAUUUAAAUAUAUUGAGCAUGAUCCAAUCACAGUCAAGCACUUUAAAGCCCUGUUCAAAUGAAUGUGAGACACAAGUCUGUAUGUUAAAUCUGUUCUACUGGAAACAAAAAUUGAACUGAAUUUAUUUUGUUGCUGUAAGUAUUUCCCACAAAAUAUAUUUGAAACGGCUUAAUAAAUAA